GCUACACAUGCAGUCGAGCGGUAACAGGAGAAGCUUGCUUCUCGCUGACGAGCGGCGGACGGGUGAGUAAUACUUAGGAAUCUACCUAGUAGUGGGGGAUAGCACGGGGAAACUCGUAUUAAUACCGCAUACGACCUACGGGAGAAAGGGGGCAGUUUACUGCUCUCGCUAUUAGAUGAGCCUAAGUCGGAUUAGCUAGAUGGUGGGGUAAAGGCCUACCAUGGCGACGAUCUGUAGCUGGUCUGAGAGGAUGAUCAGCCACACCGGGACUGAGACACGGCCCGGACUCCUACGGGAGGCAGCAGUGGGGAAUAUUGGACAAUGGGGGAAACCCUGAUCCAGCCAUGCCGCGUGUGUGAAGAAGGCCUUUUGGUUGUAAAGCACUUUAAGCAGUGAAGAAGACUCCAUGGUUAAUACCCAUGGACGAUGACAUUAGCUGCAGAAUAAGCACCGGCUAACUCUGUGCCAGCAGCCGCGGUAAUACAGAGGGUGCAAGCGUUAAUCGGAAUUACUGGGCGUAAAGGGAGCGUAGGUGGCUCUAUAAGUCAGAUGUGAAAUCCCCGGGCUUACCUGGGAACUGC
rnacentral:rRNA from 1 species